rnacentral:rRNA from 1 species
UAGGGAAUCUUCGGCAAUGGACGAAAGUCUGACCGAGCAACGCCGCGUGAGUGAAGAAGGUUUUCGGAUCGUAAAACUCUGUUGUUAGAGAAGAACAAGGACGUUAGUAACUGAACGUCCCCUGACGGUAUCUAACCAGAAAGCCACGGCUAACUACGUGCCAGCAGCCGCGGUAAUACGUAGGUGGCAAGCGUUGUCCGGAUUUAUUGGGCGUAAAGCGAGCGCAGGCGGUUUCUUAAGUCUGAUGUGAAAGCCCCCGGCUCAACCGGGGAGGGUCAUUGGAAACUGGGAGACUUGAGUGCAGAAGAGGAGAGUGGAAUUCCAUGUGUAGCGGUGAAAUGCGUAGAUAGAUGGAGGAACACCAGUGGCGAAGGCGGCUCUCUGGUCUGUAGCUGACGCUGAGGCUCGAAAGCGUGGGGAGCAAACAGG